UAUAGCAAUAGCUACUUGCAUCAUUGUAAAUAUGAUGCAAGAUCGACUAUGUCGAAUAAAAUUCUAGGUAGAAUUAUGAUAAUGACAUUGUCUGCCUAUGUGUCUUGACCAAAUUACGUGCCAGCUGUCGCGGUAAUACGUAGAAGACUAGUGUUAUUCAUGUUUAAUCGGUUUAAAGGGUACCUAGACGGUAAAUCAAGCCUAAAAAGAAGGAAAUAAAGGGACUAAUUUACUAGAGUUACUUAUGAGGGGGUAUUAAAGUACUGCUGGUGUAGAGAUGAAAUUCUGUCAUACCUCUUUUCAAUAGAAAAAUAAUGGCACAGGUAUAGGCGAAGGCAUCCCCUUAUGUGAUAACUGACGUUGAGGGACGAAGGCUUUGUGUAGCGAACAGGAUUAGAUACCCCAGUAGUCAAAGCAGAAAAUGAUGAAUGUCAUAGAUUAGAUAUAUAAGUUUAUUCUAUAAAUGAAAGUGUAAGCAUUCCACCUCAAGAGUAAUUUGGCAACAUUGGAACUGAAAUCAUUAGACCGUUUCUGAAACCAGUAGUGAAGUAUGUUGUUUAAUUUGAUAAUCCGCAAAAAACCUUACCACAAUUUGAAUAUUUAUAUUUUUUUUUAUUGUUUUUCUUUUUAAUUAUCUUCCGAUUUUCUAGUUAAAGGAAAACUAGAAGAAAAAGAAAAAAAGGCAAUAAGA
rnacentral:rRNA from 1 species